UACGUAGGGGGCAAGCGUUGUCCGGAAUCAUUGGGCGUAAAGAGCGUGUAGGCGGUCAGGUAGGUCGGUUGUGAAAACUGGAGGCUCAACCUUCAGAGGUCGACCGAAACCCCCUGGCUAGAGUCCGGGAGAGGAGAGUGGAAUUCCUGGUGUAGCGGUGAAAUGCGCAGAUAUCGGGAAGAACACCCGUGGCGAAAGCGGCUCUCUGGAACGGUACUGACGCUGAGACGCGAAAGCGUGGGGAGCGAACAGG
rnacentral:rRNA from 1 species